GAACCGGGGUUUGCACCGCCCAGCAGCCAGUGCGCGUGCGCGUCGCGCCGUGCUUAAAGAGGCAGCGCCGAGAAAAUUCCCGUAAACCGGAAGCUCCUUCAGAAAUGAGGUGGCGGCAGGGCGGUGCCCCCGAGCACGGUAGGCAGUAAGUGCUUCGAAGACUCGUGCCCUGAAUACAGGAAAACCGGCAGAUUGCAGGAAGCCUCCGUUUCAACUCAGUCGGGUCCUCCAGUUGUCUCGCAGGCUUGUGCAGACACCCGUGUUUAUCUCUGUUUUCUUGAGGAUCCUGCUGUACUUAGAGCUGGAGACUCUUAGAGUUGAAGAUGUAAGGAAGGUCCAGCCCCUGCAGUGCACUGACCACCUUCUCCCUGGUCGGGUUUGCCUUCUCUGCAGCCUGCCCCUCGAGAUGUGUGUGCCCUGGUGCAUUGAUACCCGGAAAGAUUGGCCCUAAGCUAACAUCUGUUGCCAGUCUUCCUCUUUUUGUAUGUGAGCCGCCACCACAGCAUGGCUACUGACAGACGAGUGGUGUAGGUCCACACCCAGGAACUGAACCCAGGCCACUGAAGUGGAGCGUGCCAAACAUUAACCACUAGGCCAUCAUGGCUGGCUCAUCAACAAUUCCAUUUUUAACAUUAUUCACCAUAGCCAAGAAGUGGAAGGAACCCAAGUGCCCAUCGACUGAUGAAUGGAUAAAGAAGAUGUGGUAUAUAUACACAAUGGAAUACUACUCAGCCAUAAAGGAAGACAAAAUUGCCCCACUUGCAACAAUAUGGAUGGACCUGGAGGGUAUUAUGUUAAGUGAAAUAAGCCAGAGAGAGAAAGACAAACACCACAUGAUUUCACUCACAGGUGGAAGAUUAACUAACACAUGGACAGAGAGAACUGUUUGGUGAUUACCAAG